CGUGUAUGGGGACGUUUCCUUCGGGACAGAGGAGACAGGUGGUGCAUGGUUGUCGUCAGCUCGUGUCGUGAGAUGUUGGGUUAAGUCCCGCAACGAGCGCAACCCCUAUCUUUAGUAGCCAGCAUUUAGGAUGGGCACUCUAGAGAGACUGCCAGGGAUAACCUGGAGGAAGGUGGGGAUGACGUCAAAUCAUCAUGCCCCUUAUGACCAGGGCUACACACGUGCUACAAUGGCGUAAACAAAGGGAAGCGAGCCCGCGAGGGGGAGCAAAUCCCAAAAAUAACGUCUCAGUUCGGAUUGUAGUCUGCAACUCGACUACAUGAAGCUGGAAUCGCUAGUAAUCGCGAAUCAGAAUGUCGCGGUGAAUACGUUCCCGGGCCUUGUACACAAU
rnacentral:rRNA from 1 species